CAGUCGCCACGGUAAAACGUAGGGUGCAAGCGUUAAUCGGAAUUACUGGGCGUAAGCGUGCGCAGGCGGUCCGCUAAGACAGAUGUGAAAUCCCCGGGCUUAACCUGGGAACUGCAUUUGUGACUGGCGGGCUAGAGUAUGGCAGAGGGGGGUAGAAUUCCACGUGUAGCAGUGAAAUGCGUAGAGAUGUGGAGGAAUACCGAUGGCGAAGGCAGCCCCCUGGGCCAAUACUGACGCUCAUGCACGAAAGCGUGGGGAGCAAACGGGAUUAGAUACCCGUGUAGUCCCUGUCUCUUAUACA
rnacentral:rRNA from 1 species